CAGUCGCCGCGGGAAUACGUAGGGUGCAAGCGUUAAUCGGAAUUACUGGGCGUAAAGCGUGCGCAGGCGGUUAUAUAAGACAGAUGUGAAAUCCCCGGGCUCAACCUGGGAACUGCAUUUGUGACUGUAUAGCUAGAGUACGGCAGAGGGGGAUGGAAUUCCGCGUGUAGCAGUGAAAUGCGUAGAUAUGCGGAGGAACACCGAUGGCGAAGGCAAUCCCCUGGGCCUGUACUGACGCUCAUGCACGAAAGCGUGGGGAGCAAACAGGAUUAGAGACCCCAGUAGUCCCUGUCUCUUAUAA
rnacentral:rRNA from 1 species